rnacentral:misc_RNA from 1 species
UGCGUAAACCUUAACAUCUAGAGGAAGGAGAAGUCGUAACAAGGUUUCCGUAGGUGAACCUGCGGAAGGAUCAUUCACAUCCCUAAAAAAACAAAACUUCAAAGGCAUUUUCCCUCUGGAAUUUUGCUCUCUGUCAUGGAAACAUCGGCAUGAGGCUUUCAGAAACGGAGGUGUCCUUUACAAACCGUGUAACUUUUAUUACCAAAACUUUCCAUAUAUUUAAAACUGUACAAUUUGCUUGCUGUUUGAAAAACAAAAAUAUUAAAUCGUACAACUUUUAACAAUGGAUACCUUGGUUCUCA